UACGUAGGGGGCAAGCGUUGUCCGGAAUCAUUGGGCGUAAAGCGAGCGUAGGCGGCCCGAUAAGUCCGCUGUGAAAGUCGGGGGCUCAACCCUCGGAUGCCGGUGGAUACUGUCGAGCUUGAGUACGGAAGAGGCGAGUGGAAUUCCUGGUGUAGCGGUGAAAUGCGCAGAUAUCAGGAGGAACACCAAUUGCGAAGGCAGCUCGCUGGGACGUUACUGACGCUGAGACGCGAAAGCGUGGGGAGCAAACAGG
rnacentral:rRNA from 1 species